ACUCAAAUGAAUUGACGGGGACCCGCACAAGCAGCGGAGCGUGUGGUUUAAUUCGAAGCAACGCGAAGCACCUUACCAGGGCUUGACAUGCCAGCGUCCCUCCUGGAAACAGGACUCUCUUCGGAGCGUUGGCACAGGUGCUGCAUGGCUGUCGUCAGCUCGUGUCGUGAGAUGUUGGGUUAAGUCCCGCAACGAGCGCAACCCUCGUCGUCGGUUAUCGGUGUCCGAGGAGACUGCCACGACUAACGUGGAGGAAGGUGGGGAUGACGUCAAGUCAGCACGGCCCUUACGUCCUGGGCUACACACACGCUACAAUGGGCGCGACAAUGAGCAGCCAACCCGCGAGGGGGAGCUAAUCUGUGACAAACGCGCUCUCAGUUCAGAUUGCAGGCUGCAACCCGCCUGCAUGAAGUCGGAGUUGCUAGUAACCGCAAGUCAGCACAUUGCGGUGAAUACGUUCCCGGGUCUUGUACACACCGCCCGU
rnacentral:rRNA from 1 species